UGUUGGAUGAUGAAAAGAAUCAGACGGAUUCCACUAAUCUGUAACACAUGAUAUCAUAAGCAGCUACUUCUGACAACA